rnacentral:rRNA from 1 species
UUUAAAGCUUCGCUUGAAGAUGAGCCUGCGCCGUAUUAGCUUGUUGGUGAGGUAAUGGCUUACCAAGGCGACGAUGCGUAGCCGACCUGAGAGGGUGAUCGGCCACACUGGGACUGAGACACGGCCCAGACUCCUACGGGAGACAGCAGUUAGGAAUAUUCGUCAAUGGAGGAAACUCUGAACGAGCAAUGCCGCGUGAAGGAUGACGGUCCUUUGGAUUGUAAACUUCUGUUGUUAGGAACGAACAACCUAAGUAGGAAAUGACUUAGGCCUGACGGUACCUUUCAAGAAAGCUCCGGCUAACUAC